rnacentral:rRNA from 1 species
UACGGAGGGGGCUAGCGUUGUUCGGAAUUACUGGGCGUAAAGGGCGCGCAGGCGGCUGCUCAAGUCAGGCGUGAAAGGCCUGGGCUCAACCCGGGAAUUGCGCUUGAGACUGGGCUGGCUUGAGUGCGGGAGAGGAUGGUGGAAUUCCCAGUGUAGAGGUGAAAUUCGUUGAUAUUGGGAAGAACACCGGUGGCGAAGGCGGCCAUCUGGACCGCAACUGACGCUGAGGCGCGAAAGCGUGGGGAGCAAACAGG